rfam:Cephalotus follicularis DNA, scaffold: scaffold10372, isolate: St1.
AAACCAUGAUGAGGACACUCUAAGAGAAGAUCCUUAAAACGUUCCAUACACCUAGAAAAUGAUUCACUGGGUUUUUGACGGAACUGGAGAAUGUCGUUCCUAAGUUU